UUAUCUGCUAAAAGUCUGGCAAGGAAUCCAUAUAUACUCUGCCAUGUUUGUAAUGAAGAAUUUGGAUUGCCACCUCCGUCGUUCUGGCAGAUUCAUCUUGCACAGCUUCAUGUUCUUCGCUGACAUCUAAAGUGAGUUUGAAUCAGUGUCCCAAAUGCUGUUUUGAGCCCACUUAGUGGCCUGAAAGAGACUGCCUGAGCUGCCCCUCCCUUUCAUUAUGAGUCAUGGGACCCACGGAAGGGAGGAGGACCCCGAGAACAAAGUAGGUGUCUGUAUUGCUUCUGUAGCC
rnacentral:lncRNA from 11 species